UGUGCAAAGCAGCGGCAGUAUCGUAGCCGAUUAGGUUUAUCCGAGGCGCGAUUAUUGCCAAUUAAAAACUUUUCCCCAAUAUACCCCGCCACGCGCCGGCUUGCAAAAGUCGGCGUCGGUAAUUUUGGCGAGCUCCUUUAGGGAG